rnacentral:tRNA from 1 species
UUUUUUUCUGUGUUGGUGUUGUGUACUCAGGUGAAUAAUAUGUUUCCGAUGUUACUCUGAGUGCAUAUCCACACCGGGCGAGCUUGAAAAAUAUGCCCGGCCACGGUGGGAUUCGAACCUACGACCUUUGGAAUACUAGCCCAAUGCUCUUCCAACUGAACUACGCGGUCAGGACGGUUCGAGUAAGUGAUAUUUCGGAACAGUAUCUAGUUCCUUCAAUACCAAUGUGUUCUAGUAAU